UACCAGCACCCCGAGUGGUCGGGACGAUUAUUGGGCCUAAAGCAUCCGUAGCCGGUUCUACAAGUCUUCCGUUAAAUCCACCUGCUUAACAGAUGGGCUGCGGAGGAUACUAUAGAGCUAGGAGGCGGGAGAGGCAAGCGGUACUUAGUGGGUAGGGGUAAAAUCCGUUGAUCCAUUGAAGACCACCAGUGGCGAAGGCGGCUUGCCAGAACGCACUCGACGGUGAGGGAUGAAAACUGGGGGAGCAAACCGG
rnacentral:rRNA from 1 species